CUCAACUUGUUAAAGUUACUAAUAGUAAUAAGACUUGUAACAUAUUUCUACAUCAGAAACAGGUUUCAUGUUCAACCAGCGAUGUCAACAAUAUCAGGCGGUAAAGAUUCACCUUUAUGACGUCAUUUAACAGGGAUUAUUGGUGCUGCGCUCUAAUUCCAUCAAUUAGCUUCACUACAAGUUUUAUUAAACUAUAAAUAUACAUUUACACAAGAUGUGAGAACUAGGCCACAAAAUAUUGAAACUUCUAAACGCGUCACUAAGAUAAAGCUAUAAGUAACAGAUAAUAACAUAUAAGAUCUUUUUCUAAAAGAAUCAGAAAAAUGUCGAGUUUUUAAAGUCAAAACUGAACAAAGUUUGACCUUAAAUUAAAUGAAAAGUCAAGACAAAAAAAGGUAUUUGAUGAAAAACAUCGACUUAAAGAUAUAAAGACGUAUUAAAUGAAAUUACAGCAGAAAUAUUUUUUCCGCUUUUAGCCAGCUAGCAACUGGCUAGCUAGCUAAAUGCUAUUUAUCUAGAAACAUCCAAAAUGUCAAUAAAUGAUGCAUUAGGCUCAUCUGUACACAAGUUACUGGUUUGUUUGUUCGGCAUCAUAAGCCAGGCAAAGCAGGAGAAACGUCACUUCCUGUUCCAACCCGCUGGUGUGUGAAUGAUUUUAGUUUCUCUGUUGCUUCUUAAACCAAAUGGAGGAGAAACAACCGAGUCACGUCUCCAACUGGCGUCGCUUUAAGCAGCAUUUUAGCAGCAGGAAUCAUUCAGGUGAUCCAACGUCACCAAAGAACCGGAACCAGUUCAGGAACAGAACCGGUCCGAGCAGAACCAGAUUCAGAAUGUGGGUCAGGGUUCUCGGAGGAUCCAGAAGCUUCUGGUCUGCUCCGUUUCUCCUUGUCAAUAAAGUUUUCUCUCCCAAAGCAGGAAGUGGGUGAGAUGAUGAGUCAGCGUCACGGGAUGACCCGCUGAUGGAUCAUGAUGACUCAGCAGGAAAACUGAAGGCCCAGAUGUGACCCGGAAGAACUUUUCUGUUCUGCUCCUUCCGGAUCAUCGAGCAGCAAAAACCAAGACGGACAAGUUACAAGUUUUUAUGUUGCUUAAAAAGUUAAACUGAACUUGAUCCUAAAAUCCUUCAGUGUUGAUUAAACAGGAUUUAACUCCU